GACCCUGACCUCUAACAAGACCCUGACCUGUAACGAGACCCUGACCUCUAACAAGACCCUGAUCUCUGAAGAGUUCCUGACCUGUGACAUGUUUAUGGUUGGCUGCAAUUCUGAGUGAAUGUUAUUAAUGUAAAGAACAAAAUGUCACCAAAUGCAUGAAGACAUAUUGACUCAUAUUGUAACAACUUUUCUAUUCUUUCUUUUCUAUAUCUCGUCCGCUGUGAUCUGAAAAGUAAAAUCACACUUUGCAUUCUGUGAAUGGAUUUUUGCAGAAUUGAUCCACGUGUCAGAAUUUCCUUCAUACUUUCUCCGUACAGAAAAGAAGAAGAGAAAGCAGACGAGGAAGUCCAGCUUGUUUCUGAGAAAGCAGCAGGGGAUGAAUGGAGGUCAAUGAGACCUGUGCUGCACAUAAAGGCUGCACAGAGCAGCUCUCCACCACAGAACAUCGAAGGCUCUGAACAUGAAGACUCUGCUGCCUCUCGGUCUCCUCCUCUGCGUCCUGGGAAGCCUCUCAGCCGCGCCGGUCGGUCCGUCGAUGCUGAACAACGGAUGCUGUGUGAGUACCAGUCAUGUGCACGUUCCCAGAGGCAAGGUGAUCCACAUCGGGAUGAGCUCGAGGGAAUGCCCAGUCACAGCCAUCAUAAUCACAACUGAGAAGAGGCAGUUUUGCAUCGAUCCUGACUUAAAAUGGGCAAAGACACAAUUGGCUCAUUUUAAGGCUAGCACUACUAGUAUUUCACAUCCCAAACACCAACCGACGAUCCGCUCCUUUGUGCAUCGUGAUGACAAGCAAAACACAACCGAAUCACCAAAGUGAUGAUGACACAGAAAACGCACUUUGUUUGAGGGGAGCCGCAUUUUAAGAGCUAAUGUGAAAUAGCUUCUUCUUUUAUUACAUGUCAAACACGGAGGACGUGAGUCAAAUAUUCAUCACUCUGCAAACAGCUGCUGUGUUUUGAUUUAUCACUUUCAGAGACAACAGGAAGAUGUAUUAUUGCUACUGUACAAGCCCUUUCAUAAUAAAAGCUUUAUUUUUCCAUUAAA